UACGUAGGGUGCGAGCGUUGUCCGGAAUUAUUGGGCGUAAAGAGCUUGUAGGCGGUUUGUCGCGUCUGCCGUGAAAAUCCGGGGCUCAACCCCGGACUUGCGGUGGGUACGGGCAGACUAGAGUGUGGUAGGGGGGACUGGAAUUCCUGGUGUAGCGGUGAAAUGCGCAGAUAUCAGGAGGAACACCGAUGGCGAAGGCAGGUCUCUGGGCCACUACUGACGCUGAGAAGCGAAAGCGUGGGGAGCGAACAGG
rnacentral:rRNA from 1 species